rnacentral:piRNA from 1 species
GGGCUUCAGAGAUGGCUCAGAGGUUAA